rnacentral:rRNA from 1 species
UCGCCUGUUUUUUCAAAAACAUGUCCUUUUGUAUUUAAUUUAAGGUCUGACCUGCCCAGUGAUUUUAAUUUAACGGCCGCGGUAUACUGACCGUGCAAAGGUAGCAUAAUCAUUAGUCUUUUAAUAGAGGGCUGGAAUGAAAGGUUUAACGAGGAAUAAGCUGUCUCAUUUUAUUUGUUUUAAAAUUUAAUUUCUUAGUUAAAAAGCUAAGAUAAUAUUGGAAGACGAGAAGACCCUAUAGAUCUUUAUAUAAUUUUUUUAAUUUAAAAUUAUAUUAUUUUAAUUAUAUAUUAUUAUAUUUUGUUGGGGUGACAAAAAUAUAUAAAUAACUUUUUUAUUUCAAAAACAUUGAUUAAUGAUUAAAUGAUCCAAUAAUAUUGAUUACUAGAUUAAGUUACCUUAGGGAUAACAGCGUAAUCCUCCUUGGAAGUUCUUAUUUACAGGAUGGGCUUGCGACCUCGAUGUUGGAUUAAGAUAAUAGCUAGGUGUAGCCGCUUAGUUUAUAGGUCUGUUCGACCUUUAAAUUCUUACAUGAUCUGAGUUCAGACCGGUUUAAGCCAGGUCGGUUUCUA